CAAGUCGCGUGCGCAGUUCCCGUAGCAAUACGGGGAUGGGCGCACGGCGCACGGGUGCGUAACACGUGGGCAAUCUGCCCUCCGAUGGGGAAUAACCCCGCGAAAGCGGGGCUAAUUCCGCAUAACAUUCCGGGGACCUCGGUUCCUGGAUUCAAAGCAGUGAUGCGUCGGAGGAGGAGCCCGCGCCCGAUUAGCUAGUUGGUGAGGUAACGGCUCACCAAGGCAAUGAUCGGUAGCUGGUCUGAGAGGAUGGCCAGCCACACUGGAACUGAGACACGGUCCAGACUCCUACGGGAGGCAGCAGUGGGGAAUCUUGCGCAAUGGGCGAAAGCCUGACGCAGCGACGCCGCGUGGGGGAUGAAGCUUCUCGGAGUGUAAACCCCUUUCGACUGGGACGAAUGCCCGCAAGGGAGUGACGGUACCAGUAGAAGAAGCCCCGGCUAACUACGUGCCAGCAGCCGCGGUAAGACGUAGGGGGCCAGCGUUGUUCGGAAUUACUGGGUGUAAAGGGUUCGUAGGCGGUGUGGCAAGUUGGGAGUGAAAUCUCUGGGCUUAACCCAGAGGCUGCUUCCAAAACUGCUGUGCUUGAGUGUGGGAGAGGCGCGUGGAAUUGCAGGUGUAGCGGUGAAAUGCGUAGAUAUCUGCAGGAACACCCGUGGCGAAAGCGGCGCGCUGGACCACAACUGACGCUGAGGAACGAAAGCUAGGGGAGCAAACAGGAUUAGAUACCCUGGUAGUCCUAGCCCUAAACGAUCAGGACUUGGGGUGCCGCCCGUUCGGGCGUCGUCCCGGAGCUAACGCGUUAAGUCCUGCACCUGGGGAGUACGGUCGCAAGACUGAAACUCAAAGGAAUUGAC
rnacentral:rRNA from 1 species